rnacentral:lncRNA from 1 species
UUCAUUAUUUUUUAUUUCUUUAAUAGAAACAAUAUCAUUUUUUAUCUGUAAACAGAUAACAAAUUCUUGCCAAGACAAUGUCUAUAUUUUAAAUAAAUGCAUAGGUUUAUAAACAUUUUGAUCAUUAGCUAGGUAUAUUUUCAUGCAUUUAAUACAUUAUUUUUCUGCUGAUAUUUAAUUUCAUUUACAAUAUGAAAAGUUACAGGCUAUUUUCAAACUUUUAAAAUGCUUCAUUUUUAUGAAAGAUAUGGAAUGAAUUAAAUGAAUACAUCAUAUGGUUUAAUCAUAAAAAGUUUAAAAAAAUAAAAUUAAGAAACUUCUUUAGUUUCAUAAUUUCAGGCCAUGAUAACCUCCCUUUAAUUAACAUAAUUGUUUUUACAAAAUAGUAAUUUCUACAUUUAAGUUAUCUCCCUUUGACCAAAUUUGUUAGUUUUAUAAAAGUCUUCAUUUGCACAUAGAAUUGGGGGAAAAAUAAAGUAGACAUUACUUGUAUAUCAGCAGUAUGUUAUCAAAUACUAAAGUAAUCUAAAUAUGAUUUUAUUUAUGACCUAAACUUGCAUUGGAAUGAUAGAUGAAUUGGAAAUGUUAAAAUCUUAAAUGAUUGAAAGUUAAAUUGAGACAGAAAUGCUUUAACACAUUCUAAUAGUUACACUCUCACAAAAAUAUUUAAUCGCUUUUUACAUAAAUCUUUAUAAAUGAUGUCAAAUCAUAAAAUCUUAUCUUGCUUUCAAAAAAAUAUAUCUCAUAAUAAGAGAUUAAAAGUAGAUUAUUUUCCAAAUAAUGAUGAAAAUAAAUUUAAUUCAUUUUGCAGUAUUUUCAAAAUACUACAGAAACCUAUUUCCUAAAGUAGCUUUUUUUUCAAUCAAUAAAAUGAGCAAUUUAUGUAAAAUGUAUAAACAUGAUGGACAGAUGGAAAUGAAGAUGUAUGUAUGUUUUUAAUGAACGCUUUGCUUAAGAGUACAAAUGACACGUACAAUUUUCAAAUGAAUAUCACAAAUCAAUUGGCAAGAUUUAAUUUCUACUCCCCUUAAUCCAUGGAAUGUACUAUUUUCACUCUUUAUUUUGAAUUUUAUUCAUAAAAUUAUAUUCUUGCAUGCAAUCUUUUACAUUUUCUAAUAUAUUGAAAACUAAUUUCAAUAUCAAUCAUUUAAACAACUUUCUUCUGUUUAGCUGUC